CAUCAACUGAUGAGCUCUCAAGUAAUGCAAACUUCCCAUCCAGCUCACUUGUGGCUAACUGGCCAAGGGCUUCUGCCUCUGAUUCCAUUGCCAUUACUAUCAAGAUGAAAAACAUAAGGAAAGAAAAACUUAAUGACAUUUCUAUUCUUCACCAGCAAUAGUAUAGGACAGCUGAAUCUGCUUGACACUGCAUUUGUUUGUCAUGCUGUCUAGAAAAUCAAGCGCUUCAAUAUUUUGAUUAAUAGCAAAUAAAACUUUAUUCUAAGGUUUUUUUGGAAUGAUCUAGACAUAAAAACUCAAACAGCUCAGAAGCAGAUUCUAACUACUUUUUGGAAAAACAUUUAGAAGGGCACUUUUCCAAAAGCAGUUUCAAGAAUAAUUAAUGCCAAACAUGGCAAGCAAAAUGUCAAGCAAUGGUCAAUUUUGAGUAACCAGAAAGGAUGAACCACUGUAAGAAAUACCUCAUGACAAGCAUCCAACUGAUGAAACUAGCAGGAAAUUAUUGAAUAAGGAAAUUCUAUCAUAAAUGUGUUUGAGAAUUCAAAGUAUAGCCAAUGGCAAAGACCUCAUUGACAUAAAUAAAGAAAUGGUUAAGCCACAGAAGAGAACAGUGAAGAAUCAAACAAGAACUUUCAUAAAGUAUGGCACAAUAUUCAAAAUAAAAGGAGAGACAGCACUAAAUUUGUUUCCUUAUGUACCUUUUAUGCAUGUAAAGCAGGAUUUAGUAAGAGUGAUCAAGUUAUGAAAUAUGAAUAAGUAUGGUGCAUAUGGGGAAAUUAACAAAUAAAAAGAGAGGCAGAUAUACCCUUAGUCCGCUGAAAUAGUAACUUAGCAACCAUAUAAAUCGUUAAGCAUAUGUGUGCAAGUCAUUGUCUAAUUAAUUUAAUUGGGCAAUACUCACACCAACUAGAUUGGGAUUAAGAAUUAGUUGAGUUGAGCUAAAGUAGAGGCAGAGAGAAUAAAAUUAUCACACCAAGACAGCUCUAUCAUUGUUCAGCAUAUGAAUGGCACACGGCUUUUAUAUCAAACACAAAAUUUAACUGUGAGAAAGAAGAAUUCUCGAGGAUAUUAAAACAAUAUGAAAAACCUCCUGAAUUACAAUAAAAUGGUAAAAAAUUGAGAAACACCUUAUUAGUUACUAGUAGAAUGGUAAAACCUCAGAUAUGCCAUAUGUACACGACAGAUUUUUUCCUUAAAAAAAUAGCUGGAAACCAAAACCAAAAUGCAAGGCACACACAUGGACACACAUACACACAUAUGUACUCCAAGGGCUAUUAGUUAAACAACUGAGACAGUCCCAAAUUACAUGUAAGUGCUUGCAGUUGAGGAUCAAAAUGAAAUGCACAAAAGCAGACUUUAGAUACAAAGAAAUACAUAGAUUGUUUCCAGAUGAUUUACCUUUCUCUUCCAUUUUUUCAAAAGCUGAAAGAGCAUUACUUGUAUUGACAUUCCCCAGCAUCUCAUUCACUUUGGUUUGAGUUCUAAAGCAACAAAGAAGAGUUGUUAACAGCAAAAGUAAAAGAGGCUACACAGAGCCAAAGGGGACUUCACAACAGGAAAUGAUGGCAGAGACAAACUUUGCAGACUGAGCACGAGCUUUCAGUGUAUCUUUCUUAGACUUUGCCUCCUGUAUCUUGCUCUCCAAAAGCUACACAAUGGAAUUCAUUGAAUAUAACAAUAACAAGUUCAUGAAUACAUAAUUAUACCUACUAAGGAAGAUACAUAUCAGGUGCAAAAAUUGUAAGGUACUUGAACAGUCAACAUAAACAUGAAAACUGGCAAAUUCAAUUUGCUAUUUAGCAACCUAAAAGGGAAAAAGAUUAACUUGUCAAUCUCUGGAACCCAACUAGAAUCCUAAAUAGGGCAGAACCUCAUGAAAUUUUUGCAAAAUGGUUCACACAAAUACCAAUUUAUUCCUUUUCAAUUAUAACUCAAAACUCAACUCUGCUUUAUGAGGAAUAAAGCUGUGCUUCUAUCCCCACACUUCCUGGAUUGCGUUGAUUUCAUAAACCACAAAACAAGUUCAGGCACUUAACAUCCACUCAUGCAUCUAAUAUAAAAAAAAUAAAUAAAUAAAGAGUAGUCUCCAGGAAUAUCUGCAACUGAUGCUCUCAUCUACUAGUUUCAGAAGGAGAGACGAAGCAAUAUAAGGUACGUGGACUCAGGUUUUCUCGGAGAAGGGUAGCCAUUGAGAAAAAGGCCGAUGGAUCCAGUUGAGCAAUGGGAACAGGAGGUGGCAGAGGUGGGGUUGCGAGGAAGGCUGCCUUGCCAUCCUAGCAGCCAGAAAUCCACCACCACCACAAGAGCUGUAACACCCAAUGGAGUCGAAUCUUCUUCCCACCAUCAAAAACUUAAUGGGAAGCCAGAAAGUGGGAUUUUCUUUAGCAAGGGUAGAGGCACUGAAUCUAUUGACGGAUUCAACGACUCUAAAGAAGGCAAUGUUGACAUUACUCCAAUUUCUGAGACUGCAAGCUUACUGGCUGUUUCAAGCCUUCCACCUUCCAACAAUGGGACAGGAGCAUGUGAAAGUAUUACCUUCAGAAAAGGAAGUAGACAGGAUGAAACAGAAUUAUAUCUGGACGAGUUUUAUAAGAAGCCAGUUGCACACGAGUUCUUCUGUCCUAAUUGUAAUUCUUGUAUAAAGAAGGUUGUUAUUCGAGAAUCAGGAAGUGAUUAUGCAUCAGGUCCUGAACCGAUUGAUACAUUCAGAUGCACAUCAUGCUUUAGUUUUCUCAUUCCUGCAGGUGAAUGGGUCAUCCAUACCUUUGCACCGAAUGAGGAAAGGAUUAGGUGGAAAGAGCAAGCAGAAACUAAUGUUCUCCAAGAUCCACCAAGUGAUUCAUUGCUACAAAGAGAUUCUUUGGUGGGAACAGUCUAUGAUAGAACUACUCAACCAAAUAAAACAUUACAUGAUGAAAAUGGUCAUGCUCCAACAACAAAUAUUGUUUCAUCACCUGUUGAUAUGGUCGGAGAGAAUCUAAA
rnacentral:misc_RNA from 1 species